AGAGAAAAGAGAGAAAUUAGAAGAAAAAUAGAAAGGAGUUGAAGGAAAUAAGUUUAAAGAUAAUCAUGAUAUUCUCCCGGCAGGACGUCAGUAGGAUUUUCUUCGGUGUUUGCUUUUGAUUUCUGUUUGCUUUCGAGUCAGGCUUAUAGCUUGAUAGCAGGUCACUUUUGUUGGACCUUCAGAACCUGCUCUUUUGGUUGUAAUCCGUGCAUUUUCCUUUAUCUCUAAUUAGUGCUCCAAAACUAUAAAAUUAUAUUAACUCUUGUAUUAAGACAAUUCAAUUAUAUUAUGAAGUUGAUUUUGUUAUUAA